UAAGGAAUAUUGGUCAAUGGACGCAAGUCUGAACCAGCCAUGCCGCGUGAAGGAUGAAGGUCCUCUGGAUUGUAGACUUCUUUUAUCUGGGACGAAAACGGGAUUUUUAUCUCAAUUGACGGUACCAGAGGAAUAAGCACCGGCUAACUCCGUGCCAGCAGCCGCGGUAAUACGGAGGGUGCGAGCGUUAUCCGGAUUUACUGGGUUUAAAGGGUGCGUAGGUGGGCUUAUAAGUCAGUGGUGAAAUCUCCGAGCUUAACUUGGAAACUGCCGUUGAUACUAUAGGUCUUGAAUUAUCUGGAGGUAAGCGGAAUAUGUCAUGUAGCGGUGAAAUGCUUAGAUAUGACAUAGAACACCAAUUGCGAAGGCAGCUUACUACAUAUAAAUUGACGCUGAGGCACGAAAGCGUGGGGAUCAAACA
rnacentral:rRNA from 1 species